GACGAACGCUGGCGGCGUGCUUAACACAUGCAAGUCGAACGGAAAGGCCCUGCUUUUGUGGGGUGCUCGAGUGGCGAACGGGUGAGUAACACGUGAGUAACCUGCCCUUGACUUUGGGAUAACUUCAGGAAACUGGGGCUAAUACCGGAUAGGAGCUCCUGCUGCAUGGUGGGGGUUGGAAAGUUUCGGCGGUUGGGGAUGGACUCGCGGCUUAUCAGCUUGUUGGUGGGGUAGUGGCUUACCAAGGCCUUGACGGGUAGCCGGCCUGAGAGGGUGACCGGCCACAUUGGGACUGAGAUACGGCCCAGACUGCUACGGGAGGCAGCAGUGGGGAAUAUUGCACAAUGGGCGGAAGCCUGAUGCAGCAACGCCGCGUGCGGGAUGACGGCCUUCGGGUUGUAAACCGCUUUCGCCUGUGACGAAGCGUGAGUGACGGUAAUGGGUAAAGAAGCACCGGCUAACUACGUG
rnacentral:rRNA from 1 species